CAAUUGAAACAAAUANAAACAAGUGUUCUGUUGACGUGCCGGAGAUGGUGGUCGGCAAAAGGCCGAGCGUGCCGUCACAGUAUGUCGUCUCUCCCUUCACCACUGAGACGAAGAGGAAGAGGUUUAUCAACGGGACGUACCCCAAUAUGUUCCGGGAGGUCGACCAUGCCAAAUGGAAAGCAUUCGAGGCUCAGUAGCGAGCAAUGUUGCCCGGGUAAGUAUUGUAUAUUUUAGUAGAGUACCAGUACUCAUAUAAGUUUCGUUUAACAUUUUUUUUCAGCACCACCCGUAUGAUAGCCGGAAGAACGAUAUCGGAUGCAUACAAGUGGUUCCAUGAUAUCACCACUCAGGGGGCUUGGCUCGUCGACGAUAUAAGUGAAAUGCUAUUGUUACUGUUUGUACACAUUACGUUUAAUUUGUUAAAUGAAAUAAUUAUUUAUUUCUUUUUCGUUUAUGUAGCACAUCGACAUGGUCAUGGACUUGUUGCGCGAUCGAGUUGAGAGAUAUCCACAAUCAUUCUACAAGCAUGGCCGAAUAAUACUGAACACCGAGUUCUUCUGUACCGUUACCAUUAAGUAUCAGUCGCUCUAGCUUAUGGGUAACGAGUACAGGCUGCUCGUAUAUAUUCUCGAGUGGGUCAUCAGGUUGUCACCGACUGUUGGGGAAAAGUCGUGGGAGGGCUGUACGCAUAUGUACAUUUCAGUGAUUGUCAAUCAUCACUACAUUGCACUAGAGAUCGUAUUCCCUGAGUCGACGAUAUAUGUAUAUGACCCCGAUCAUUCAUGUCUGACACAGAGGCAGCUCGAGCAAAACUUAGAGCCAGUGACUGUGAUCGUUUUUAUGAUGGCUAGACGUGCGAGCUUGACUGUGUAGGACAGACUAGCCAUCAUGCGGGAUAAGACGACGACUAGGCAGUCUAUAUUGUAAGUGUUUGUAAUCUUUUUUAAAAUUAAAUUAAAACCAAACUAACACAAUAUUGUUCAUUUGCAGGGGCGACUAUGGCAUUUUCGCAAUCAAGUACAUAUAAUUUUUGAGUAUAGCACAUAAGAUUGAUAGAACCAACCAAUCAUGAAUACAGAAUUGACGGAAUAAGUUAGCGUGCGACUUAUUCGAAUUUAAU
rnacentral:lncRNA from 1 species